rnacentral:misc_RNA from 1 species
AACUUUCAGCAACGGAUCACUUGGUUCUGGCAUCGAUGAAGAACGCAGCAAAAUGCGAUAAGUAAUGUGAAUUGCAGAAUUCAGUGAAUCAUCGAAUCUUUGAACGCACAUUGCGCCCGCCAGUAUUCUGGCGGGCAUGCCUGUUCGAGCGUCAUUUCAACCCUCAAGCCCAGCUUGGUGUUGGGACUCGCGAGUCAAAUCGCGUUCCCCAAAUUGAUUGGCGGUCACGUCGAGCUUCCAUAGCGUAGUAGUAAAACCCUCGUUACUGGUAAUCGUCGCGGCCACGCCGUUAAACCCCAACUUCUGAAUGUUGACCUCGGAUCAGGUAGGAAUACCCGCUGAACUUAAGCAUAUCAAUAAGCGAGGCU